GUUGGGCAUGGUGGUGCACCCCUGUAAUCCCAGAGGCUUGGGAGGCAGAGACAGGAGGGUCGCUAAUUCAAAUCCAGGCUCAGCAACUUAGUGACACUCUGUCUCUA
rnacentral:sRNA from 1 species